AAAGGCCGCAGUAUAUUGACUGUGCUAAGGUAGCAUAAUCAUUAGGUUUAUAAUUUAAAUCUUGUAUGAAUGAUUGUAUGAAAAAUAAUCUUUUUUAAUUAUAAUAAUUUAAUUUUAUAAUUAAGUUAAAAAGCUUAAUUAUUUUUAUUAGACGAGAAGACCUUAUAGAAUUUAAUUAAUUUUUUUUAUAAUAAUUUUAUUAAAUGUUAAUUUAAUUGGGGAGAUUUUAAAAUUUAAUAAACUUUUUAUUAAUAAAUCAAUUAUUUUUGUUUUUAUUUGAUCUUUUAUUAUUGAUUAAAAAUUUAAAUUACCUUAGGGAUAACAGCAUAAUUUUUUAAAUAAGUUCUUAUUAUUUAAAAAUUUUAUGACCUCGAUGUUGGAUUAAAUAAUUAUUAAUUGAAGAUAAUUAAUUUAAUUAUUCUGUUCGACUAUUAAAAAUUUACAUGAUCUGAGUUCAAACCGGUGUGAGCCAGGUCGGUUUCUAUCU
rnacentral:rRNA from 1 species